rnacentral:rRNA from 1 species
GCAAGUCGAACGUGAAAGUGGACUUCGGUCCGCGAGUAAAGUGGCGCACGGGUGAGUAACACGUGAAUAAUCUGCCCGAUGAUCUGGGAUAACAUUUCGAAAGGAAUGCUAAUACCUGAUAAGCCCCCGAGAACUUCGGAUCUUGAGGGAAAAGGUGGCCUCUCCUUGGAAGCUUCCGUCAUCGGAUGAGUUCGCGGCCCAUUAGCUAGUUGGUGAGGUAACGGCCCACCAAGGCUACGAUGGGUAGCUGGUCUGAGAGGAUGAUC